UACUCAAGACAGUGGCAAUCAUGUAUAAUUAAAUAUGAUUGACACGUCUAUGAGUGGA
rnacentral:pre_miRNA from 1 species